rnacentral:rRNA from 1 species
GAUGAACGCUGGCGGCGUGCUUAACACAUGCAAGUCGAACGGUGAAGCGCCUUCCUUGUUGGUGGGUGUGGAUGAGUGGCGGACGGGUGAGUAACACGUGAGUAACCUGCUCCCUUCUUCUGGAUAACCGCAUGACGGUGUGGCUAAUACGGGAUAUUCUGGGUCUGUCGCAUCAUGGGUCUGGGAAAGAUUUUGUUUCGCUGGGGGAUGGGCUCGCGGCCUAUCAGCUUGUUGGUGGGGUGAUGGCCUACCAAGGCGGUGACGAGUAGCCGGCCUGAGAGGGUGGGCGGUCCUAGAGGGGAGACGGGACCGCCAAGACUACGACAGGCGGCAGCAGGGAAGAAUAUUGAACAAUGGGCGCAAGCAUGAAGCAGCGACGCGGCGUGAGUGAGGGAGUCCGGCGGGUUGUGAACCGCUUUCGGGAGUGAAGAAGUCUUGCCUUAAUUGUGGGUGGGUUGACGGUAGCUGAACAGGAAGCGCCGGCUAACUACGUG